UACAGAGGGGGCAAGCGUUGUUCGGAUUCACUGGGCGUAAAGGGUGCGUAGGCGGUCGGGUAAGUCUGACGUGAAAUCUUCAAGCUCAACUUGGAAACUGCGUCGGAUACUAUUCGGCUAGAGGAAUGGAGGGGAGACUGGAAUACUUGGUGUAGCAGUGAAAUGCGUAGAUAUCAAGUGGAACACCAGUGGCGAAGGCGAGUCUCUGGACAUUUCCUGACGCUGAGGCACGAAAGCCAGGGGAGCAAACGGG
rnacentral:rRNA from 1 species